rnacentral:tRNA from 1 species
GCUGUGGCCCAGCAGCAGAGUAUCCGACUGGCAAUCAGAAGGUGGCAGGUUCAAUCCCUGCCAUCUCUG